GAUGAACGCUAGCGGCAGGCCUAAUACAUGCAAGUCGGACGGGAUUGAGCCUUCGGGCUCAUGAGAGUGGCGCACGGGUGCGUACCACGUAUGUAACCUACCUUUAUCAGGGGGAUAGCCUCUCGAAAGAGAGAUUAACACCGCAUAACAUCACGAGGCAGCAUUGUUUUGUGAUCAAAUAUUUAUAGGAUAAAGAUGGGCAUGCGGGACAUUAGCUAGUUGGCGGGGUAACGGCCCACCAAGGCGACGAUGUCUAGGGGAUCUGAGAGGAUGACCCCGCACACUGGUACUGAGACACGGACCAGACUCCUACUGGAGGCAGCAGUAAGGAAUAUUGGUCAAUGGGCGCAAGCCUGAACCAGCCAUGCCGCGUGCAGGAAGACGGCCCUAUGGGUUGUAAACUGCUUUUGUACCGGAAUAAACCUUGAUACGUGUAUCAAGCUGAAUGUACGGUAAGAAUAAGGAUCGGCUAACUCCGUGCCAGCCGCCGCGGUAA
rnacentral:rRNA from 1 species